rnacentral:lncRNA from 1 species
CAUCUCAGCACCAGACUCCGUUGAUUCACCAAUGCACUGCCCAUACUGUUCGAUGAAAUGACCAUGUAGUGAGUGCGCAGACGAUGGAAGAACCCAUAAAAUUGUGGAAAAGAGAUGUCAGGAGAGGAACUGCACUCCAUCAAAUGCCAAACUGAGCAAACAACUGAUAGAAUGAACGAUACUGAUUGCAAGACAUAGAGAAUCCAAUCUUUAAUGCUUUGAAUUAUCAAUGAGAGCUUAAGGAGCUCUGAGAAAACUGUUAAGUAGAGCCUUCAGAAAUCAAUACAUCUU